rnacentral:lncRNA from 1 species
AUGUCCCAAAUGCAGGGGAAACUUGAGUCAAAGAUUGCACCUUCUCAGAGUGGUGUUGACUUGUCUAGUUGGUCUCAUACUGAGCACCCUCAGUCAGAACCACAGCUUUACCAAACAAGUCAAGUGGACUGGGGAUGCCAAGUGAAACAACCCCAGGGGAGAAACCCAGAGAUUCAGCGAAGGGAAUGGUAAGAGUAUCUCGAAUUUGUGUGUGUCCUCAGCAACCUGUUCAUUAGAUUGGAUACAGUACUGCAGCACUACCAGAUGUCAAAAGGAGAAGAAAUAAUGUGCGAUUGUGAAGUAGCUGGAAGUUAGAUGCAAAUUCUGAGUGCAACAGGUGGAUGAGGAAACUGUUGAAAUGUAUACAUAUAUCUGUAAUGUGUAUGUAGUCACUUUUGAGUUCUUCAGAAAAUCGUAACAACAACUACAAAAAAGCCCUUCAGAAGGGCCCAGACAGACUUCUACAGUUAACAAAAUGGAUGAGGGAUCUUGUACAGCCAACACAAUGUCAAUAUGAAUGAUGUAAAACGAUGCAAAAAAAUACUGUACUGUGCAUGGUAAAUCAUAUAAUAAGGGAAGCAGUAAAGAGUAAUAUGUCCUAAAGCAUGGCUUCAGUAAAUGAAAACUGAAAUAGGAAAUGCUCCAGAGAGUUAGUAAAAAAAGCAAUGGAAAGCAAAGAUAUGUAAUAAAAGAAAGCUAAAACUGAAUUAC